UGGGGAAUAUUGCACAAUGGGCGCAAGCCUGAUGCAGCCAUGCCGCGUGUGUGAAGAAGGCCUUCGGGUUGUAAAGCACUUUCAGCGAGGAGGAAGGGUAGUGUGUUAAUAGCACAUUGCAUUGACGUUACUCGCAGAAGAAGCACCGGCUAACUCCGUGCCAGCAGCCGCGGUAAUACGGAGGCUGCAAGCGUUAAUCGGAAUUACUGGGCGUAAAGCGCACGCAUGCGGUUUGUUAAGUCAGAUGUGAAAUCCCCGCGCUUAACGUGGGAACUGCAUUUGAAACUGGCAAGCUAGAGUCUUGUAGAGGGGGGUAGAAUUCCAGGUGUAGCGGUGAAAUGCGUAGAGAUCUGGAGGAAUACCGGUGGCGAAGGCGGCCCCCUGGACAAAGACUGACGCUCAGGUGCGAAAGCGUGGGGAGCAAACA
rnacentral:rRNA from 1 species